GCCAAGGUGGCCUGACAUUGCAGGGGUCAAGGGAGGCUGUACAUGUUGCUUUGGGGCCUUCAGGUGAUGGCACAGGUGGGCUGAGGAGUGUCAUCUCUUUGGGGACCAGGUGGCCACGCAGGAAGUUCACAGCUUCAGUGGACAGCAGAGGGCUGGAGACAGAGCGUGCAAUGUCUGGGCCGCCACAGGUGUUUACAAUCUGGACACAGACCCCAUUCCCUUCCACAGACAAGCAUGGCCACGCACAUCUGGGUGAACUGCACAUCCGGCCCUGCCCCUGCCCAUCAACUCCCUGCACCUGCUGUUGCCAACUAGUACCUGAGACUCCACGUCCAGCAGUCGCAGUGACUUGUCGUUCACCUGCAGCAGCACUUCCUGGGCCCAGACCUUUUCCUUGGAGCUCAGCUGCACCAGCUUCCGGAUGGCAUCAUCCACUGAGGCAAUGGCCUCGCUCUUGUCCAUGAUGAAUGUGGCCAGGUGCUAAGGGAAGGGUCAGAGGUCAGUGCUGGGCACAGCUCUUCUCCUACUUAAACCCUGAGCACCAGGGAAGGCCUCAGCCGGCUGGGGACCCUGAGGGAGCCAUAGCUAUACCUCAGGUGGGAGGAACUGCCCUUCUGCUCUGGUGUGUGUCAUUGUGGGUCAUGAUUGCUGACUAAAGUCCUCAAAAACUUUCA